UACGUAGGGGGCAAGCGUUGUCCGGAAUCAUUGGGCGUAAAGAGCGUGUAGGCGGCCCGGUAAGUCCGCUGUGAAAGUCAAGGGCUCAACCCUUGGAUGCCGGCGGAUACUGUCGGGCUAGAGUCCGGAAGAGGCGAGUGGAAUUCCUGGUGUAGCGGUGAAAUGCGCAGAUAUCAGGAGGAACACCUACGGCGAAGGCAGCUCGCUGGGACGGUACUGACGCUGAGGAGCGAAAGCGUGGGGAGCGAACAGG
rnacentral:rRNA from 1 species